GCCUCCUGCGCGGCGGUCGCUGCCUCCCAGAUAUAGUGCGGCACGGGGAGGCGCUGGCAGGCACUUGGUGAAUGGUGCUCCGCGGGUGCGGAGGGGCUGUGUGGACGGCAGCGGGGGUUUGCCUAGGCUGGUUGAGCACCUCCAACUUGGAACUGUCCACCGGUGCGAGCUCCUGAACAUGAGCCUCCUGCCUCUCUACCUGCUCGGAUUGCUCCUCAGUAGCGGGCAAGCUCUACUGCAAGUUACAAUUUCACUUAGCAAAGUUGAGCUCAGUGUGGGUGAAUCCAAGUUCUUCACAUGCACAGCCAUUGGUGAGCCUGACAACAUAGAUUGGUACAAUCCACAAGGAGAGAAGAUUGUUUCUAGUCAAAGAGUGGUUGUUCAGAAAGAAGGUGUUCGAUCACGUCUAACCAUUUAUAAUGCAGAUAUAGAAGAUGCUGGUAUAUAUCGAUGUCAAGCAUCAGAUGCUAAAGGACAAACUCAAGAAGCUACUGUUGUUUUGGAAAUUUAUCAAAAGCUCACGUUCCGAGACAUAGUAUCUCCACAAGAAUUCAGGCAGGGAGAAGAUGCAGAAGUUGUUUGCCAUGUUACUAGUUCACCUGCUCCUGUUGUCAGCUGGUUGUAUCGGAAUGAGGAAGUCACAACUAUUGCUGACAAUCGAUUUGCAGUAUUAGCUAACAAUAAUCUCCAAAUUCUUAACAUCAAUAAAAGUGAUGAAGGAGUAUACAGAUGUGAAGGAAGAGUGGAAGCAAGAGGAGAAAUUGACUUUCGGGACAUAAUUGUUAUUGUGAAUGUUCCCCCUGCAAUUACUCAGCUGCAGAAAUCUUUUAAUGCCACUGCAGAUCGAGGAGAGGCAAUAACUUUGUUCUGCAGAGCUACCGGAUCACCUCCACCUGAAAUCAGUUGGUAUAGGAAUGGUAAACCUAUUGAAGAAAAUGAAAAAUAUAUGCUGAGAGGAAGCAAUACAGAACUAACAAUAAGAGAUAUAAAGAAUAUUGAUGCAGGUCCUUAUAUCUGUAAUGCUAAAAACAAAGCAGGAAAUGAUAAAAAACAGACAUUCCUUCAAGUUUUUGUACAGCCUCAAAUAAUACAACUUAAGAAUGAAACCACAUUUGAGAAUGGGAAAGCCACCCUCAUCUGUGAAGCAGAAGGAGAACCUACCCCAGAGAUUACUUGGAAAAGGGCCAUUGAUGGAGUAACUUUCUCUGAAGGUGACAAGAGCCCAGAUGGCCGUAUAGAAGUGAAAGGGCAGCAUGGAAAAUCGUCGCUGCAUAUUAAAGAUGUGAAGUUGUCAGAUUCAGGGAGAUAUGACUGUGAAGCUGCAAGUAGAAUUGGUGGGCACCAAAAGAGCAUGUACCUUGAUAUUGAAUAUGCUCCAACAUUUGUGUCAAAUCAAACCAUGUAUUACUCUUGGGAAGGCAAUCCCAUCAAUAUAAGCUGUGAGGUGCUAGCAAAUCCGUCUGCCUCAGUUCAGUGGAGAAGAGGAAAAUUAGUUUUACCAGUAAAAAAUACAACACAUCUGAAGACCUACAGUACGGGAAGAAAGCUGAUUCUAGAGAUUGCUCCCACAUCUGACAGUGAUUUUGGACGGUAUAAUUGUACAGCCACAAACAGAAUAGGAACAAGAUAUCAGGAGUAUACACUUGGCCAAGCUGAUGUGCCAUCAAAUCCUUAUGGAGUACGAGUUUUAGAGCUGUCACAAACUACUGCCAAAGUUUUGUUCAACAAACCCGAUUCACAUGGAGGUGUGCCCAUUCAUCAUUACCAAGUGGAUAUAAAAGAGGUAGCCUCAGAAACCUGGAAAAUAGUUCGCUCCCAUGGAGUUCAAACCAUGGUUGUUCUCAGCAAUUUGGAACCAAAUACAACAUAUGAAAUCAAAGUAGCCGCUGUAAACGGAAAAGGGCAAGGAGAGUAUAGCAAAAUCGAGAUCUUUCAGACUUUACCUGUCCGGGAGCCAAGCCCCCCUUCAAUACAUGGACAACCAGAAAGUGGCAAGAGUUUUAAACUUAGCAUAACUAAACAAGAUGAUGGAGGUGCCCCCAUUUUGGAAUAUAUUGUCAAAUACAGGAGUAAAGAUAAGGAAGACCAGUGGCUAGAGAAAAAAGUGCAGGGUAGUAGAGACCACAUCAUCUUAGAGCAUCUUCAGUGGACCAUGGGUUACGAAGUACAAAUUACAGCUGCCAACAGACUGGGUUAUUCUGAACCAACAUUGUAUGAAUUCAGUAUGCCACCAAAGCCCAACAUUAUUACAGUAAUAAAGUCAUUUGAAAGUACAGAACACUGAAUCUACAACCCAGUUGAUGGCCGGUAACAAAGAAUACAGUAUUUAAGACACUCUUUUUAAUGGUCUUGGACUUGGUGCUGUCAUUGGCCUGGGAGUGGCAGCCCUUUUGUUAAUCCUGGUUGUGACUGAUGUUACCUGCUUCUUUGUACGACAAUGCGGAUUGCUAAUGUGCAUCACCAGGAGAAUCUGUGGGAAAAAAGGUGGUUCAAGUGGAAAAAGCAAAGAACUGGAAGAAGGAAAGGCUGCUUACUUGAAGGAUGGAUCAAAAGAGCCAAUAGUGGAAAUGAGAACAGAGGAUGAAAGAAUUACCAACCAUGAAGACGGGAGUCCUGUAAAUGAGCCAAAUGAGACAACUCCCCUCACAGAACCAGAGAAGCUGCCACUAAAGGAGGAAAAUGGGAAAGAAGCUUUAAAUGCAGAAAACAUAGAAAUCAAAGUUGCUAAUGACAUCAUCCAGUCAAAAGAAGAUGAUAGCAAAGCAUAAUAAGAUAAACUACAGCUGUCUGGAUAAUGCAUUUGGAUUGAAGUAACCCCGUGACCAAAACUUUACAGCUGACCUUCAUUUCUUGGGAAACUUAAGCUUGGAAUAGUUAGUACAUGUGUACAUACGAUGAAACAGUUUCUGUCUACAGUUCCUUUCUAUUUUUUGGUGAAUGGUUUCAAUAUGUAGUUUUGCUGACACCAAGUCCCAUGGUAUAAAUUUGAAAAAUCUGCAGAAAAGAACUGUAAUUUAUUAUAUGAUAAAGUUUGUCUAUUUAGAAGAAGAGUUAUAAAGCACCUCUAACCCCGAACAACACAGGAAGUCUCUCCAGAUCUUACAGUGCACGCUACAUACAUAAAGUGACAUCCACUAGUGUAUUUGUUUCCAUUUAUAAUAAAACAAAAGUUUAGGUUGCCCUUAAAAAAAAAAACAAGUCUCAAUAUAAAGUUUAAGAUCUUAGCAAUGGCAGACACUCAGUAGUCAUUCCAGCUGUGAUUAUCACUUGAAGUAAACACAGAGCCAGCUCCACCUGUAGUUUCACCUGGGUUCUUUGGUAAAAUAAAAAGUUGAUAAUGACCAUGUAGAGAUUUAAAUAAUAUUGGCUAACUAUUUCGUAGCAGUAUAUUGGCCUCAUCCUGACUACAUGAGUGUGGCUCUGAAAGAUUCCAUGAUUUUCAGUGAUUCAGGUUUACUGUAUUAAAGUUUUGGAGAUUGCAUGUGAACUAAAAUACACCAAAGGUGUGAAAAUAAAACUUUCUUUAGUCAUAACCUUGGCUUUCAAUGAAACCUUACAAUAAACACAAGCUAAUUUGGUAUUAGACCAAAUACGUUUUUUCCUGUCUAGCAUUCCUUAAGAUGUUAUUUUUUAUUUAUAUUUAUUAUUCUGCUUAACAUGCACCACUGAAAUUUGACUGAUUUAUUUGAUGCAAAAUUUAUUCAUAUUUAUUACCAUUGAUUUAAUGGUGCCACUAAUUGGAGUAAUAUAUUUUGUUUCUAUUUCAGCAGUGUAUUCACACCUACCAGACUUUUCAAAAUCUUGCUGUGAAAAAAGUAGAUAAACAAUAAAGAAAACUAGAUUGAAAAAUUGUACUUAACAGAGUAAAUUGUAGAGUACCUUAUGGAUUUCUCAAAUCUAAGUCAUACCUGAGGUUUAAGUGUAGCGUUACUCAGUAAAUCAUAUUCUCUCCUCACUGUAUCUGAAUUUUGCUCAUAUUUGAAGUUCUUAUACUUCCCAGUUUCCCACAGGAUGUCAUCAACCCUUAGCUGAUAUUUCGUAGUCGUGCCAAAGUGAUUGACUUUUGUGCAGUAAAGCUGAAAGUGAAAUGUAAAAGAGUGUCCUUAAAUUUGAGGAAGAUGGCAGGUUAACCUUCAUGUUAACCCAAGCUUUAGUGCAUUUGAAAUUGCUGAGGAGGACAUAUUUAAUGCAUAGGUCUUCUUUAUUUUUCAGAAACAAGUCACUUUAUGGGGGUUUUUUACAACUUUUCCUUACUUUAGAAAAUAACAACAAUGAACCAAGUAGUUGAGUACAGCGGCAUGCCACUGGUGUGGCUAGGAUAAGAGGCCAAGUUUCCACAAAACCAGUGCCAAAGUGAAAAGAAUGGGUAAGAGGAGGUAGAAAUGUGGGAUAAAAGUCAUUAAGGAGAAUAAUUUAAAAGUGCUGCAAAGUUUCUUUAAAUACUAAGACACUAUUUCUGAGCGAAGGAAAGAUGAAGUCAUUCCUUUAUGACCUCUCACUGUUGCUCCCACCAAUACUGGGUAGGCAGUACUACCAAAUAGCUGCUUGUUUAUUAAAUUUCAGUCCUGUUUCUUCCUGAGUAAGUACACAGUGAGCUCACCUGUACUUAAGCGAAACAGUUGUCUCUUAUAUAUGAAUAUAUGUUAUUCUCUAAAGUAUAUAUUAGCAGCUGGGCUUUUUCCUCUAUCAAAAUGCAAGGAAGGGACCUGGAAAGUUCCAGCAGUUGAAAAUAAUGUGGCAGCCCACAUCAUCUCAUGCAGUAUUUUUACCAGGGAUGAAGGUAGGAAACAUCUUUUCCCCUUCUACCUGCCAUCACAAACUUAGGUGGUGCUGUGCAUAUUCAUGUAAGUCAAGCUUUGCUAGGCAAAUGGUGCUUUUUUCUGAAUCCAGCAUGAUCAUUUGCACAACAAGGUUCUUGGACAGAGCUGACAGUGUCUAGGCUUGACUGUAGGUGCAUUUCAAAUUUUAGUACUUCUUCUUGAGAUUUACACAAUAAAACUUUAUGGCCUAACAGCUAUAUAUUGGGGUUUUGGGGUUUGUUUUGUUCGUUUUUGUUUUCUAAUAUGGCCUCUAAUUACAGUGUGAAGGAAUUAGAAAAUUUAAGAGGUCUUGUCAGCACAUUUAUUAUUGAUAUGCCUGUGCUGCUCUUUACAAGUAAAAUGUACCACAAAACUAUUUCAAUAUUGGAAGCAAAAGCAUUUCCCACUAUAUUGGAUUAUAAAUCAAAGGUUAUUUCCAGGAGUAUUUAUUUUCUUCCUGCUGUUAAGUCUCCUGCCAGCUGGGCUAUGUGAAGGCUGAGAAUUAAACAGUUCUAAAUUACCAAUGAACUGUCCGAGCAUACCGUUUGGUCUGUUAUCUCUUGUGCUUCGACUGUGCUGCGCAGGAGAAAGCCACGCUAUAACUAUGAAAGAAUGCUUAAAAACACUGAUAUGUGCAAAUAUUUCCAAAGGAGGGACAGCGCAUAGUAAUUUGUAAGAUACGUGUAGAAUGGAAUAACAUCAUUUCUUUACUUUCUUUUCCUAUUCUAGACUAAAAAGAAAAAAAAUAUCUGUAGAAAUGUCACUUUUUCUGUCUAAAAGUAAUUUUAAGUGUUAGUAUGAAAUGUCAGAAGAGUUGACAAAAUAUAACUAUUUGUAAAAAUAAUCUGAAUUGUUACACUAACAUACUCUAGGAACAAGGGUGGGAGGGAACCACUGAAUUAAUUAAUUAUAUGGAAUGUGGCAGUGACAAUCUCUUUUCAACAAAAAAUGAGUAAAAUUAAGUAAAAUGACUUUGAGCUUCUUGUUAUUUUUUUUAGUAGACCUGCAUUCCGAUUUACUGCAACAGUAAGAAAAGUUUUAAUUAGUGUUUAACAAUUUAGUAUACAAAUGUGCUCUGCAGAGUUUUUUCUGAUUUUGUUUUUUGUUUGUUUGGGGUUUUUUGACUUUUACAAUUUUUUUGUGGUUGCAAAAAUAUUUACUAUUCUGGUGAUGCUAAUGUCUGUUGUGACAAAGAUUAGUUUAUUUAGGCCACAGUCUUGCAAGAAAUUAGCGUGGCUGAACCCACCCCUCAUAUGCCACCCCACUGACAUCAGCGGGGUUGAUGUGAGCAGGAGGAUGGAUGUACUUUCAUAAGAGACCUUGCAAGAUUGGGCCUACUAUCUCUUCAUAGAUAUAUGCAACAUAGUCAUACAAUGACAGUCAUCUACAAAGGCUGUUCAACAACAGUCCCUGGUAUAGUAAAUUCCACCUGCUGUCUUCAGCCUCUGCAUUGAUGUUUAUCAAAAAAAGUGGCUUUCUUUUUAUGAUGGUAAUUACUUUGAUUAUUUAUUUAAGUGCCAAUCAUCGAAUUGUAGUAUAAUAAUCAUGCCAUUUUUCUGUUUCCUAGACCGGAUAAUGGAAAUGUAUUUGUGCCUUUUGAUAGCAUGCCACUCUGCUUUAUUAAAGAAAAAUCUUCAGUAAUUUGUCUACAAAGCCUGUUCAAAAUAUUUAAAAGCUCUACCAUGACAUACUUCUCUGCUCAAAUAUGCUCAAAUACUCGUUUGAAGUAAACUGGAGAUAGUAUUCUCAAGUUACGUAAAUAUUUUAAACAUAAAAUUUGCAAAAAUCUAUUGAGAUCACAAUUCUAGUGAGGGUCAUAGUGGGUGUAUUACUGCUGGAAAGAUUCAAGUACACACAUGGGGGGUGUGUAGGGGUGUUUUGACCAAUUUAUCAAGUUGGAGAGUCAGAUAGAUAGAAAGUCUCCUUAGUUAUAUUUAGGUACUUAGACCUAAAACGUUAAAAUCUUUUCUCAAAUCUGAAAGAUUAUGUGGAGCAUCUUCCCACCAUUUUACCUCUGGAAUGAAACUGCAGUGAAUAUCUGUUUUGCAGUGGCCUCACCAUCUUUGUAAACUGUCAUAUGAAGUAAUAUCUUUGUAGAGAUAUUGUUGCAUCUGUUGGAUGACAUUCACUCCUGAUUAAAGGGCCCCAAAAAGACAAUUUACUGAAAAAGCUCAAGAACCCUAUUACAAAUUGACCUAUGGAGGGGUGCUGAGAGCACUGCAAGAAGGGCCACAGUGGAAUCCAGGUAUCACUAGGCUCAAACUGACUUCAGUGGGUCCUGAGUUUCAUCCAUUCAUCUUAGUAAGGCUCUGCAUGUCCUCAGCUGAUCAAGUCGCUUUUGCAAAUCGGACUUCAAGUAAGUGGGACUUAAAUGUCCUGCCAGGUUCCUGCUAAAAUUUUGCGUAGAGGAGGUUUUCCCGUCGGGAGUUUGUACUGAUCAGGAAAUGCUGAUAAAAAUAUCUGAUCACAGUUUUAUCCUGUACUAGAUGCCCACAAAUAAAAGAAAUAUAAGAAACUAAACAUUCCUCUAAACAAGUCAUUGUGAUUGUGGUACUUCUUUAGGUGAAGAUUAAAACAUUCUAAGAAAUAGUAUUUCUUCUUAAAUCCAUUUAUUUAACUUCAGAUACUUGUGCCAAUUGAUGCAAAGCUACUAUGCUCUUUUUUAAAAAAAGGAUCCACCCCUUUUUCCAUAUUUUUUCACAUCAUUUCCUGGAGUACCCAGUCCACUUGACAGCAGUUCUGUAGUGGUGGGAGGAUACCACUCACUAAGUUUUAAGUGAUCGUCAAUAUUUCCACUGCAUAUUAAUGUGUUCUUUUAUCAUUUUACUUGAACCUGAGCCAAAAAGAAGCCUUUCUGUUAUAAAUUUGGCUUUGGAUUAGGUUCUGAGAAAUCACAGUUUACAAGUCUAUCUUUCCUCUUAACAGGCAUUGUAAGCCUCAUGAUGUUUGACUUUCAAACUUGAAUAUUGGCCAUUUUUAGCCCAGAGAAAUGAAAUAAAUAUUUAUUGCCAAAUUUGUAUUGGCAGCUUUUAAGUCAUAGGUGAGAUUGGGAGCGGGCAAGAUGACCAGAUGCAGUGCUGGCAUUUCAGGAAAGCCACUACCAGAGAGAACAGGUGCCAAAGAGUGAGCUGAGAAAUUGCUCAGAUACUGGGAAUGUCCUUAGCGGUGACAGGGGAAGUGGGGAGCUGCUGAAACAAGAGAGGCUGCUGGAGGGCAUUGCCAAAGUCAGGGUCCUGCAAGCUGUGAAAACCAGAGGAGAGAGAGUAUUAACCCUGCUGUAUCCUUUAACUCGGCCAUAUAAGUAGGCUACAUUUUUAAAUCUAAAAGGCAGGGUUUGGGGAAGGGAAAACAAACCCCUAGAGUCUCUAUAGAUCAGUGACAAAUAUAUAAAGCAGUCAGACCCCCCAGGAAGAUAAUUUUGUUGCUCACGGUAUAGAGUUCUCACUAAGAAUUUUGAACUACUUAGACAAGGUUUUAAAAAAGAAAUAGCUUUCCUGCUACAAUGAGCACUCGGUAUGUAUUUGUAUGCUGUGUACAGUAUAAGCUAAAGCAUACCAUAUAUUGUUUUUGUUAUUCCACACAUUGUCAACAGCCCACUUGCGAUAUAUACCACCUGAAUUAUGUAUUGGUAAGUUAGCUACCACUGGAGCUAGUUUGUUUAUUGUUUCAAAAUCUUAUGUCCCUAUGAAAUGCUGUGUAUAUAUAUAUCUCUAUACUGUAAAAAGAAGUAAUAUUGCAGAUGCUGGUUUUGUAUUUAUGAAAGACAUUGAAAGUAUGGCUUAAAGUAUAUCAAUUAUUUGUCACUCUUCACCAUUUGUAUAUUAAUAGUAAAGAUACUUUUACUUUAAUGAA